rnacentral:lncRNA from 1 species
CUCUCUCUCCCUCCCCUCUCUGCUCUCUUCCCGAGCGGAGCCCGUCGCCGCCGCUCAUCGCCUACGUAGCCACAGCCUCCCCCUCGACCUCUCUCCGUGCUCUGAAGGACCGCCACGACCGCCUCUUCCUCCUCGAUGACUCACGCAAGCCGGACGCCCUGUAGAGCGGCCUUCAACGCCGUCUUCUUCCUCGAUGCCGUGGAUCGCCGCCGUCGAUUUCGCCGCGUGCAGGACCUCCCCGAGCACUCUAAGCGUCUCUGCGAGAUCAACGUGAGCCCCCGCAUCAUCUCCCACUGUUUUCCCUCUCGUUUUCGUCCUCUAGCCGUAGCCCCCUUCGACCGAGCGCCGCCGUCCGCCAUGGAUGUCGGCUAUGGCUCUGCCGUGCCUCUCCGCUCGAAUUCUUUAGCUAGUUGUGCUCCCCGCACCUCCAGGAGGCCGUAGAACUACUUGUAUUCCCCGCUAAUGCACCGUAGCGCUGCUUUGCCACUUGCCCGAAUUCCGGCGGCCGCCACCAGCUCGACUCCGGCGAUCUCGCUCCACCCUAGCUCCUCCCGCUCGCACCAUUCGAUGCGGACGAGUAUCCUCGUUCCGUAGAUGGCCUCGGCCUUCGAUUUGGUCGCCGUGGGACGAAACCCGAAUGCCUCCGCCGUCUCUGGACUCGCCGGCGACGAGCCGCGGGUCAACUCCGAUGAGUUUGACUCCGGUUGCCUGGGUUUGACUCCCUGCUCAGUCACUGACACGCGGGCCCGACCCUACUAAUUAAUCUAGGAUUAGUGCUAAUUAAACCAGGAUAGUUUAGUUAGUAACUGACACUGACACGCGGGACCCACUGCUUAGGUUUGACCUUGGCCGCUCCGUUGACCGCUGACGUCAGCGUGAUGUCAUACUGACGCUGCAAAUCAUUUACUGGAUUUUGUUUAAUUCUAAAUAACCAGAAAAUCCAGAAAAUGAUUUGAAAUUCUAAAAAUCAUAUAAAAUGAACCGUAACUCCAAAUGAAAUAAGUUAUAUAUGAAAAAUGAUCAGAAAAAUCCAAUCUAUCCAUCUGUACUAGUUUCAUGCAUGUUUAGACAAGUUAACUUGCCGUUUAGUGCAAAACAUGAUAAGGCACUAUUUAAGAUCACAAAUGAGUUUGAACUUUGAACCUUUGGUUCAAAAUGGCUCAAACCCAUCUGGUUGUAGUUGCAUUAGCCCAACAUACUCAUUUUGCCGUGUCAUGAUCAUGCAUCAUAUUGUGCAUUGCAUUGAUUGUGUUCCUUCUCUGUUGCCGGUGGUUGUCCCCUCUCGUUAGACGUGUUCCGACGAUGAGAUCGAUGACACUGUUGAAGAACAAUACUAUCUUCGGAAGUGCCAGGCAAGCAAAACCCCCUUGUUCAUUCCGAUACAAUCCCACUCUCUUGGUCCUGCUCUCUUUUACUACAUUAGGACAACAUCGAUUCAACUGUUACAUGCUGCGGUAGUUGAACCCCUUUUCCUCUGCAUGACCUGUCAUUGCCACAGUAAAUAGAUGAAACCCACUAGCAUGAGUAGGAGUUGUUUGAGCCCUGAUAUGCCUACUCAUUCAUGCUUGUUUGUCAUGCCUGCUACUGCUUAGAGUUGAGUCAGGUCUGAUUCAUCGGGGAUGAAUUGGAAUGGUGAUAAACAUGUCCUACUGUGUGAGCUAAGUGUUUGAACACGAUUUGGUAAAGGUAGCGGUGAGAGGCCAUGUAGGAGUACAUGGUGGGUUGUCUCAUUGAAGUCGUCCUCAGGAACUGAGUUCUGUGUUUGUGAUCCAUGAAACAGCUACUACCAUGCAUUGGGCCCUGAAAUAUGACCCCGCUCGACUUCUUAAUCACCCUAGUCCUCUGUCCAGGAGUUGCAAGUAGUUUCUGGUGUUUGUAGUAUGCUGGAGGCUGUGCACAGCGCUGACCCGAGGGGUGGGCUGUGAUGCGGUAGGCACGUGGCCGGGUAUGCCGGGCGCCCGUUUGGUGUCGCAGAACCUUGUACACAUCGUUCGGGGCUGUAUGUGGAAACCUCGAUCGGACUCCCUGCGGAUGGAACCUGAAUAGGCGAUAAACCUGGACUAGAGACUUGACUGUUUAGGUAGGUCGUGGUCUACACCCACGUCGGCUUUCGCUUGAAGUCUGCCGAGCACAUGUCGUGUGCAGACGCUAAGUGGUGGAAACAUGUGUGAAGAAGUACACCCCUGCAGGGUUAUAAAUGAUCUAUUCGAAUAGCCGUGUCCGCGGUAAAGGACUUCUGGGUUGCCUAUAACAGUUCAUAGACAAGUGAAAGUGGAUACUCUAUAACUCGCAAGAUAAGCGUGAGUGCUAUGGAUGGCCUUCUCGUAGGGAGACGGGAGCAGAUCCAUAGUGGUGUAUUGAUAUGGUGAAUAUGUGGACUCGUGUGCGCCACCUCAAAAGAGUUACUUGCAGUCAUAGUUCAGGAUAGCCACCAAGUCAAAGCUGGCUUGCUGCAGUCAAACUCCACCACCCUGUUUGUUGAUACCGAUGCAUAUGUAGAUAGUUCUGAUGUAAGUCUUGCUGGGUACAUUUGUACUCACGUUUGCCUAUUUUAUGUUUUUGCAGAGAGACGUCAGUCUCGCUAAUAGUUCCGCGUGGACUUCGCCGUUUAGCUUGUUACCUCAGCUACGAUCUUGUGCCCUCGGCAGGGUCUUGUAGAUAGUCAGGCUUCUCAGCCUUCUUCAUUUGUAGUUGUCUGUACUCAGACAAGUUAAGCUUCUGCAUGUGCUUGUUUCUUGUAUGCUCUGUAUGUUGGGGCCAUGAGACCCAUGUUUGUAAUACUUGGCUCCUCGGAGCCUAAUGAAUAAAUACUUGAGUCGUAGAGUUAUGUUGUGAUGCCAUGUUGUAUUUACACAUAUCGAGCAUAUUGUGUGUA